rnacentral:misc_RNA from 1 species
AAGGAGUCCAACACAUAUGCGAGUGUUUGGGUGGCAAACCCGAGCGCGGAAUGAAAGUAAGUGCAGGUGGGAUCCCUCACGGGUGCACCAUCGACCGGUCUGGAUUCUUUUGAAAGAUCUGAGUAAGAGCAUAUUUGUUGGGACCCGAAAGAUGGUGAACUAUGCCUGAAUAGGGUAAAGUCAGAGGAAAUUCUGAUGGAAGCUCGUAGCGGUUCUGACGUGCAAAUCGAUCGUCAAAUUUGGGUAUAGGGGCGAAAGACUAAUCGAACCAUCUAGUAGCUGGUUCCCUC